rnacentral:lncRNA from 1 species
ACUCAAACCAACAAAAAAUAAGAGAAAAUAAACCAGAUCGAGGUUAAUCUAUCGAUCUGAUUACUAGUAAAACAAUACACAAAAUUGCGUAUUUUAUAGGGAGAAGGAAGAAAUUAGGGAGCUUCGCAAACUCGAGGCGGCGAGAUAGGGAAGAAUGGGAGUUUGGUGGGUGUUGGGGGUAAAGGGCGGGCGCAUAUGGCUUAUUAGGUCAGGAAAGAAAAUUUUAGACGGUUGAGAUUUAAUGUGAUCGCCGCCGAAGAAGACCCACAAUUUUUCCUUGCCAAGACCACGUUUGGACGUAAGUUUAAAAGAAUCUCUUAUGUCAUGACACCGAUCAAUU